UACGUAGGCAGCGAGCGUUGUUCGGAGUUACUGGGCGUAAAGAGUGCGUAGGCGGUUUUCUAAGUUUGGUGUGAAAUCUCCCGGCUCAACUGGGAGGGUGCGCCGAAGACUGGAAGGCUUGAGUAUGGGAGAGGUAAGCGGAAUUCCUGGUGUAGCGGUGAAAUGCGUAGAUAUCAGGAGGAACACCGAUGGCGAAGGCAGGUCUCUGGGCCACUACUGACGCUGAGUGAGCGAAAGCCAGGGGAGCAAACGGG
rnacentral:rRNA from 1 species